AAGACCAUGUUGGAGUCCACUGGAGAGGCCAUCACAGAAGAUGACAUUGAGGAGCUGAUGAAGGAUGGAGAUAAAAACAAUGAUGGGAAAAUUGAUUAUGACGAGUUCCUUGAGUUCAUGAAAGGCGUUGAAUAAAGGAUUCAGCUGGAGGCCUCACAACGCAGUAUCUUCACUUUCCAUUGACUUCAUCAUCAUCUCCGGCCAUUCCUGAAGACAUGGCUCUACCUUUUGUCUGCGUUUACCAAACCCAAUCAACACACCUGUUCUCAGCCUGUCCCGUCACACAGAGGCCCUGAAAGGUUUGCCGAAGGACCUCAUUGACUGCAAAUAUCUUUAUUCCUGAAAGUAAUGAUCAAUCAAAAUGUCAUAUUUAAAGACUUUUCAAUAAAAUUAUUUUCAUAAUUGCA